rnacentral:rRNA from 1 species
GACGAACGCUGGCGGCGUGCUUAACACAUGCAAGUCGAACGGAAAGGCCCUGCUUUUGUGGGGUGCUCGAGUGACGAACGGGUGAGUAACACGUGAGUAACCUGCCCUUGACUUUGGGAUAACUUCAGGAAACUGGGGCUAAUACCGGAUAGGAGCUCCUGCUGCGUGGUGGGGGUUGGAAAGUUUCGGCGGUUGGGGAUGGACUCGCGGCUUAUCAGCUUGUUGGUGGGGUAGUGGCUUACCAAGGCUUUGACGGGUAGCCGGCCUGAGAGGGUGACCGGCCACAUUGGGACUGAGAUACGGCCCAGACUCCUACGGGAGGCAGCAGUGGGGAAUAUUGCACAAUGGGCGGAAGCCUGAUGCAGCAACGCCGCGUGCGGGAUGACGGCCUUCGGGUUGUAAACCGCUUUCGCCUGUGACGAAGCGUGAGUGACGGUAAUGGGUAAAGAAGCACCGGCUAACUACGUGCCAGCAGCCGCGGUGAUACGUAGGGUGCGAGCGUUGUCCGGAUUUAUUGGGCGUAAAGGGCUCGUAGGUGGUUGAUCGCGUCGGAAGUGUAAUCUUGGGGCUUAACCCUGAGCGUGCUUUCGAUACGGGUUGACUUGAGGAAGGUAGGGGAGAAUGGAAUUCCUGGUGGAGCGGUGGAAUGCGCAGAUAUCAGGAGGAACACCAGUGGCGAAGGCGGUUCUCUGGGCCUUUCCUGACGCUGAGGAGCGAAAGCGUGGGGAGCGAACAGGCUUAGAUACCCUGGUAGUCCACGCUGUAAACGGUGGGUACUAGGUGUGGGGUCCAUUCCACGGGUUCCGUGCCGUAGCUAACGCUUUAAGUACCCCGCCUGGGGAGUACGGCCGCAAGGCUAAAACUCAAAGGAAUUGACGGGGCCCCGCACAAGCGGCGGAGCAUGCGGAUUAAUUCGAUGCAACGCGUAGAACCUUACCUGGGUUUGACAUGGAUCGGGAGCGCUCAGAGAUGGGUGUGCCUCUUUUGGGGUCGGUUCACAGGUGGUGCAUGGCUGUCGUCAGCUCGUGUCGUGAGAUGUUGGGUUAAGUCCCGCAACGAGCGCAACCCUUGUUCACUGUUGCCAGCACGUUAUGGUGGGGACUCAGUGGAGACCGCCGGGGUCAACUCGGAGGAAGGUGGGGAUGACGUCAAGUCAUCAUGCCCCUUAUGUCCAGGGCUUCACGCAUGCUACAAUGGCUGGUACAGAGAGUGGCGAGCCUGUGAGGGUGAGCGAAUCUCGGAAAGCCGGUCUCAGUUCGGAUUGGGGUCUGCAACUCGACCUCAUGAAGUCGGAGUCGCUAGUAAUCGCAGAUCAGCAACGCUGCGGUGAAUACGUUCCCGGGGCU